AUUGAACGCUGGCGGCAGGCCUAACACAUGCAAGUCGAGCGGAUGAAGGGAGCUUGCUCCUGGAUUCAGCGGCGGACGGGUGAGUAUGCCUAGGAAUCUGCCUGGUAGUGGGGGAUAACGUCCGGAAACGGGCGCUAAUACCGCAUACGUCCUGAGGGAGAAAGUGGGGGAUCUUCGGACCUCACGCUAUCAGAUGAGCCUAGGUCGGAUUAGCUAGUUGGUGGGGUAAAGGCCUACCAAGGCGACGAUCCGUAACUGGUCUGAGAGGAUGAUCAGUCACACUGGAACUGAGACACGGUCCAGACUCCUACGGGAGGCAGCAGUGGGGAAUAUUGGACAAUGGGCGAAAGCCUGAUCCAGCCAUGCCGCGUGUGUGAAGAAGGUCUUCGGAUUGUAAAGCACUUUAAGUUGGGAGGAAGGGCGGUAAGUUAAUACCUUGCUGUUUUGACGUUACCAACAGAAUAAGCACCGGCUAACUUCGUG
rnacentral:rRNA from 1 species